ensembl:snoRNA
CUGCAGUUUCCACUGCAAAUGCAAGAAGAAAGUCCUGGCGCUUUCUGUCUGUCUGGUUGUGGCAGCCAAGAUUGAAUGGGGGAAGAGAGGA